rnacentral:rRNA from 1 species
AUUGAACGCUGGCGGCAUGCCUUACACAUGCAAGUCGAACGGCAGCACGGGUGCUUGCACCUGGUGGCGAGUGGCGAACGGGUGAGUAAUACAUCGGAACGUACCUUAUCGUGGGGGAUAACGCAGCGAAAGCUGUGCUAAUACCGCAUACGCCCUGAGGGGGAAAGCGGGGGAUCGCAAGACCUCGCGCGAUUAGAGCGGCCGAUGCCUGAUUGGCUAGUUGGUGGGGUAAAAGCCCACCGAGGCGACGAUCAGUAGCUGGUCUGAGAGGACGAUCAGCCACACUGGGACUGAGACACGGCCCAGACUCCUACGGGAGGCAGCAGUGGGGAAUUUUGGACAAUGGGGGCAACCCUGAUCCAGCAAUGCCGCGUGAGUGAAGAAGGCCUUCGGGUUGUAAAGCUCUUUUGUCAGGGAAGAAACACCGGCUCUAACACAGUCCGGGAAUGACGGUACCUGAAGAAUAAGCACCGGCUAACUACGUGCCAGCCGCCGCCGUAA